rnacentral:ncRNA from 1 species
GAGGAAAAAUUGUUUGAACAGAUCCCUUCCCAUAAGACUGCUCACCUAUGAUAAUUGCUCUUUUGUGAUCUUGAAGAGCUCCAGCAACAAUUUCUGAUGCAGAAGCAGAUCCUUGAUUAAUUAUAACUAUUAUAGGUUUAUCACUUGCAAUAUCUCCACCAGAUGCUGUAAACCUUGAGAUAUCAUUUUUAUCUCUUCCCUUUAUUGAAACGAUUUCACCUGAUCUUAGAAAAUUGUUUGUGACCUUUGCUGAUUGAUCUAAAAGUCCUCCAGGAUUAUUUCUUA